rnacentral:rRNA from 1 species
CUGCCCACUGAUUAAUUGAAGGGCCGCAGUAUUUUGACUGUGCAAAGGUAGCAUAAUCAUUAGUCUUUUAAUUGAAGGCUGGUAUGAAUGGUUGGAUGAGGUAAAAUCUGUUUUAUAUAAAUAUAUUGAAUUUAUAUUUUAAGUAAAAAUACUUAAAUGUUAUUAAGGGACGAGAAGACCCUAUAGAGUUUAAUAAAUAAUAUUUUUAAUUAAGUUAAUAAAAGGUUUAAAUUAUUAUAGAAUUUAUUUAAUUGGGGUGAUGAGAAAAUAAAAAGAACUUUUCUUUUAAAUAUAUAUUAAUUAGUAAUUAUUUGAUCCAUAAUUGAUGAAAUAAGACAAAAUUACCUUAGGGAUAACAGCAUAAUUUUUUUUGAGAGUUCUUAUCGAGAAGAAGGAUUGUGACCUCGAUGUUGGAUUAAGAUAAUUUUUGGGUGUAGAUGUUCAAAAAAUAGGUCUGUUCGACUUUUAAAAUCUUACA